UCUUACCCAGUGCCUUCCCUUCUUCCCUCUGCAGUGUGUAUCCUGCUCCUCAUUAUCAUGGUAAGGGGCCAGCAUUGACCCUAGGAGUGCAGCACAUGAGCCUAGCACCCUGUCAUGCUUGCUGCGACUCUCCCUCCCUUUCCAGGAGACAGGGAUGCCUGACACUACACUGGCCAUUUUAAAGAGACAGGACCCUCAGCAUUAUGAGAUCACGAUCAUGGGGCCAAGCUGGUCCUGAAUACCUUCACCACUACAUGACUUCAACAGCCGUAGGUGAGACAGGACAGAAAAUUGGAGACCAUCUGCCUGUACAACUCUAAUAUCCCAGGAAAGCCAAAAACCAUCCCGAAUGGACCAGAUCUUUCAACAACCAGAUGCAGAAUGCACAGUCCCACUACUCA
rnacentral:lncRNA from 1 species